rnacentral:rRNA from 1 species
AUUGAACGCUGGCGGCAGGCCUAACACAUGCAAGUCGAGCGAGCGGCGGACGGGUGAGUAAUGUAUGGGGACUGCCCGAUAGAGGGGGAUAACUCCUGGAAACGGUAGCUAAUACCGCAUACUAUCGGAUAACCCAUAUGGGAUGAGCUAGUCGGUGCGGUAAUGGCUCACCUAGGCGAGGAUCCCUAGCUUGUCUGAGAGGAUGAUCAGCCACACUGGGACUGUGACACGGCCCAGACUCCUACGGAGGCAGGAGUGGUGAAUAUUGCACGAUGGGCGCAAGCCUGAUGCAGCCAUGCCGCGUGUAGGAAGAAGGCCCUAGGGUUGUAAAGUACUUUCAGUAGGGAGGCGUUACCGACAGAAGAAGCACCGGCUAACUCCGUGCCAGCCGCCGCGGUAAUUC